UGAGCAAGUCACUGAAGUUGUCUGGUACC
rnacentral:piRNA from 1 species